rnacentral:rRNA from 1 species
GACGAACGCUGGCGGCGUGCCUAAUACAUGCAAGUCGAACGAAGCUUUUUUAACUGGUGCUUGCACCGACUUAAACAACUGAGUGGCGAACGGGUGAGUAACACGUGGGUAACCUGCCCCAAAGCGGGGGAUAACAUUUGGAAACAGAUGCUAAUACCGCAUAACCACAGAAACCACAUGGUUUCUGUGUCAAAGAUGGUUUCGGCUAUCACUUUGGGAUGGACCCGCGGCGUAUUAGCUAGUUGGUAAGGUAAUGGCUUACCAAGGCAAUGAUACGUAGCCGAACUGAGAGGUUGAUCGGCCACAUUGGGACUGAGACACGGCACAAACUCCUACGGGAGGCAGCAGUAGGGAAUCUUCCACAAUGGACGAAAGUCUGAUGGAACAACGCCGCGUGAGUGAAGAAGGUUUUCGGAUCGUAAAACUCUGUUGUCAGAGAAGAACGUGUGCGAGAGUAACUGUUCGUGCAGUGACGGUAUCUGGCCAGAAAGCCACGGCUAUCUACGUGCCAGCCGCCGCGGUAA